UGCGCCACUUCACUUCUGCAUGGAUGAAUCUGAUGGUUUAAGGACUCUCCAUGGUUACCAGUGAUCACUAUACCAGAUCACCAUAUCUGUCAUUUUACACCAUGAUCCACUGACAGUAAGAAGAAAGUGCUGUUGUAACAGAAGCAAGCUAGUGUGUGUAAACCUCACUCCCCUGACACUAGAGACUGCAACCUUUAGCAUUGCUAGCACACCCGCCUCUCAUGCCGGAGACGGCAGUUCAAAUCCUGCUUGGAGUGGGUCAAAUAGGACCAGUUAUAUUGGUGCCGUGACCCGGAUGGGAGUGAGAUUUAAGCAUUUUUUUGCAUAGUGCAUUCUCAAACACAACCACAACAGAACAUGAGGGUUAAGAAUAAGCCGUUGAUAAACCCAUACCAGUCGACCGCUAAUCAGAAUACUGGGGAGAACGUAUCCUAUUCAGUGGUUUAAGAUUGUUCGUCCCUGUUUGUCAGUAUUCUGGCCUCUUUAGCAGUUUCCUCUUCCUGACCAUCUGCUGCAUGCGGGGUACUCACCUCAUCUCCUCAGUGGCAAAGGGAACGGGU